ensembl:lncRNA
CCACUUUUUUUCCCCUUUAUCUUUUACAAAACAUUGUAGAAGCCUAACAUGUAAUGCAUCACAUAUGUCUACUCUUCCCAUGUACCUGUUGUAAUGCAGCACAGGCUCUGGGAUGUGAAUGGCCUUGUCCAAAGACCCUCGUUAAACUUCCAGUUCACCCUGUCUCUGUCAGGGUUAUGGACCUGUUUUGUGUUUCUUUGUUCCAUGUACUCCAUGUCCUGGUUUUCCCAUGUGUUUCCUUAUGCCCUUAUUUGGUCCUUUGUGUUCCCAUUGUGUUCCCUGAUUAGUUCAUCAUUUGUUUCCAGCUGUGUUUUGUUCAUUAUCUUAAUUUGCACCAGUAUUUAAAGUGUAGUCUGCCCUGUCUUCCUAUGUUCGGUAUUGUUUAUGUCAACCUCCUCCGUGUGUUUUCCUGGUUCCCUUGAUGUUAUUAAAGUCUCCUUGUUCAUGUACUCCAUGUCUCAUGGUCAUCAUCUGAUUCCUCACUCCACGCUCCCCCACAGUAGCAAUCAAGACAGAAUAUGUGAAAUACCCACAGAGAGCUCCCCUUUGUGGAGUAUGCAUGGGAGUUCUGCAAGAUUACUGCUAAAACAGUGCUGGAUGAUGCCAUGCUCAACUCUCUGUUCUGGAUCGGGGCCAAUUGCUAUUGCCCCGUGGACCUCCCAGACACUACAGGACUGAGCUGGAGGGAAGGGAUCCUCCGGUUCUGUAGAGUGUCCAGCCCCGAUCCAGAACUAGCCUGCCGUCCAGCCCUAAAGGGGUAUCUAAGGAGGAGAAGGCUGUUGGUUCUAGUCCCUAGGUCUGCUCCAGUGUCGGCUCUAGACCCAUAGCUCGCUCCAGUGUCAACUCCAGCCCCCGAAACUACCCCAAAGAGGGCUCCUGUUCAUUAGAUUAGCCCACAGAGAGCUCCAGUCCCCGAGUUUAGCCCAGUGAGGGCUACUGACCCCCAGUUUAGCACAGAGAGGGCUCCAGUCCCCGAGUCUAGCACAGAAAGGGCUCCAGUUCCCAUGUCAAGCCCAAGGAGGGCCUCUAAAGAUGAUAUUCUCCUCAAUUAUUUUAUUUUAUUUUAUUUUAUUUUAUUUUAUUUUAUUUUAUUUUAUUUUAUUUUAUUUUAUUUAUUUUUUUAUUUAUUUUUUUUUGGGGGGGGGGGUUGGUAGUAAGGGUCCAUAGUAGUAGGGAGGCCAGGCUCCAUGAGCUCCCUGUUCCGCCAUGGCCUCCUGAACUGCCUGCUCCACCAUGGCUUCCUGAGCUUCCUGCUCUGCCAUGGCCCCUGAGCUCCCUGUGCCACCAUGGUACCCUGGACUGCCUGAUCUGCCCUAGAGGUAUUCCCUGUGUCCCAGUCCUGCACCAGCCUACAGGGCACACACCCACCUUCCAUGGCGAAAUUGAUACGGUGCGGAAUUCGCCUUCCAGGAGGGGGGGAGCGAUGUCAGGGUUAUGGACCUCUUUUGUGUUUCUUUGUUCCAUGUACUCCAUGUCCUGGUUUUCCCAUGUGUUUCCUUAUGCCCUUAUUUGGUCCUUCCUGUUCCAAUUAUGUUCCCUGAUUAGUUAAUCAUUUGUUUCCAGCUGUGUUUUGUUCAUUAUUUUAAUUUGCUCCAGUAUUUAAAGUGAUGUCUGCCCUGUCUUCCUCCUUCCGGUAUUUUUUAUUUCAACUUCCUCUGCUAUGUGUGUUUUCCUGGUU